rfam:Pelagibacterium sp. SCN 64-44 ABS76_C0019, whole genome shotgun sequence.
CUCCCUACGGCCCAUCUCAGGUCCGCCGCAACUCCUGAGUCUCCGUAGGGCGGUUGGUCCGGAUGCGGACAGAGUGGCCUCUUCGACAUGCCGCUCCGGACCAGCCACUCU